GCCGGCGACCGGCGGACGGGUGCGUAACGCGUAUGUAACCUACCUUUGACAGGGGGAUAACAUCGAGAAAUUGGUACUAAUACCCCAUAACAUCACCGGAGGCAUCUUCGGUGGUUGAAAACUCAGGUGGUCAGAGAUGGACAUGCGUUGUAUUAGCUAGUUGGUGAGGUAACGGCUCACCAAGGCGACGAUACAUAGGGGGACUGAGAGGUCAACCCCCCCACAUUGGUACUGAGACACGGACCAAACUCCUACGGGAGGCAGCAG
rnacentral:rRNA from 1 species